UCAACCCGUCUUCUUAUCCGCC
rnacentral:miRNA from 1 species